ensembl:miRNA
CUGUUUGCAUAGACUGUGUGAUUUAUUACAUUUGACACUCAGUCUUUCUAAACGAUG